rnacentral:rRNA from 1 species
AGUAGUGUAUGCUUCUCCUAAAGACUAAGCCAUGCAUGCCUCCGAAUAGAAGAGCAACUCUCUCUGAAUCUGCGAACGGCUCCGCAAACCAGUUGUAAACCAUAGCAAGCACGCCUUGGGCCGCCGCAAGGCGGUCCUUGGCUAUAGGGAUAACCCUGGUAAUUCUGAGGCUAAUACAUGAACGUAACCCCCGGCCGACGGGCAACUGGAAGCCGGGGACCGUGCGAGUUAAGCGUAACGAUUUAUCGGAGUAGUCGCACAGUACGACCACCAUAAAAACGGUAUCCGCUUCGCUGCCUCACGGCGGCUGGCGGUGUCCGGGUGGCUCUUGCAAGGUGCUUCUGACCUAUCAACUAGAUGGCAGCGUAACGGACAUGCUAUGGUGACAACGGGUACAGAGGAUAAGGGUUCGAUCCUGGAGAGUGGGCCUGAGAGAUUGCUCACACUUCUAAGGAAGGCAGCAGGCGCGCAACGUUCCCCUUGGGCAAUGCUCGAGGGCGUUAGGGGACAUAUGAAUGCCUGCCAUUUGGUGGGCAAUUCAAAUGGGUUCGUUCUAAACAGCCCUU